GGAGAGAUGUCCGAGUGGCUUAAGGAGCACGAUUGGAAAUCGUGUAAAUUGUUAGAUUUCCGGGGUUCGAAUCCCCGUCUCUCCACCA
rnacentral:tRNA from 1 species